rnacentral:lncRNA from 1 species
CAAAGGGGCCACAAUUUCACCCCCCCGCACCCUCCCUGAGUUCUGUGGUCUGAGGUCAGUCUUUAUUGUUGAUGCAGUUGGGAUUAGCUCCCUGGACUGUAGAAGAGGAAGACUAGUAACUACAAGCUAUACAAGGGUUUCAAGCCCGCCUCAAUUAUAAUAUAAAAAUUUCAUCUUUAGGUAGCAGUAAACAAAACUGGCUUUCAUGCUUAGAUUAUAAACCUCUUGGCGUGGGGACUGUCUUUUUGUUCUGUUUGUACAGUGCCAAACAUAAUGAGGUCCUGGUUCCUAACGGGCUCCUAGGCAUGAUGGUAAAACAAAUAACAGUGCUCAGUAAAAUGCAAGAAGCAGUCAAACCUGGAUCAACUGAGCUUUCACCUGUUUCUGUUGGUUCCCUAUAAGGGCCCAAUCUCUGCUCCCAGCACAGACCCAAAGCCAUCCUCUUUGACUCCAGACUUUCCUUUUCUAGUUACAGGCUCAGACUGAUGGGUGGGGGUUGCAAUUCACCACCUAUAUCACUGCUCAUGCCGUUCACCGAAUGGGGUGAGCUCUGUCCUGCUCCCCAAACUACCACACAGCAGGGCUGGGGCAAAGCAGGGCAACAAUACCACUCACGGUAGAGUGCCUCAGCCACUGCCCUGACACUUGUCAACACCCCUGCAACCCUGACAUCCCUAAUAUCCCCCAUGGCCCCAACAUCUCCCCCCACAGCCCAUCCCUCAGGUCAACAACCCCACAGCCCUGACACCUCCCCACAGUCCCUCAGGUCAACAACCCCACAGCCCUGACACCUCCCCACAUUCCCCAUGCCCCUCCCACAGGUCAACAACCCCGCAGCCCUGACACCCCCCACAGUCCCUCUCUCAUCUAAACACCCCCACAGCCUUGACACCCCCCACAAUCCUCAUGGCCUCGAUGUCCCCAUAGCUCCUCCCUCACGUCCAUGCCCCCACGAUCCUGACACACACACACACAUCUAUCUAUAUCCCCGCAUGUCAGCCCUCCCGCUCCCACCCCGCCUCUCCGUGACGCGCUAUUCACGCGCGAGCGGCAGCCGUUAUAACGGCCCAGCCCGCGCGGCCGCCCCAAAACUACCGUUCC